rnacentral:rRNA from 1 species
UGCAGUCGAACGAUGAUCAGGAGCUUGCUCCUGUGAUUAGUGGCGAACGGGUGAGUAACACGUGAGUAACCUGCCCCUGACUCUGGGAUAAGCGUUGGAAACGACGUCUAAUACUGGAUAUGAUCACUGGCCGCAUGGUCUGGUGGUGGAAAGAUUUUUNGGUUGGGGAUGGNNNCGCGGCCUAUCAGCUUGUUGGUGAGGUAAUGGCUCACCAAGGCGACGACGGGUAGCCGGCCUGAGAGGGUGACCGGCCACACUGGGACUGAGACACGGCCCAGACUCCUACGGGAGGCAGCAGUGGGGAAUAUUGCACAAUGGGCGAAAGCCUGAUGCAGCAACGCCGCGUGAGGGAUGACGGCCUUCGGGUUGUAAACCUCUUUUAGUAGGGAAGAAGCGAAAGUGACGGUACCUGCAGAAAAAGCACCGGCUAACUACGUGCCAGCAGCCGCGGUAAUACGUAGGGUGCAAGCGUUGUCCGGNAAUUAUUGGGCGUAAAGAGCUCGUAGGCGGUUUGUCGCGUCUGCUGUGAAAUCCCGAGGCUCAACCUCGGGCUUGCAGUGGGUACGGGCAGACUAGAGUGCGGUAGGGGAGAUUGGAAUUCCUGGUGUAGCGGUGGAAUGCGCAGAUAUCAGGAGGAACACCGAUGGCGAAGGCAGAUCUCUGGGCCGUAACUGACGCUGAGGAGCGAAAGCGUGGGGAGCGAACAGGAUUAGAUACCCUGGUAGUCCACGCCGUAAACGUUGGGCGCUAGAUGUAGGGACCUUUCCACGGUUUCUGUGUCGUAGCUAACGCAUUAAGCGCCCCGCCUGGGGAGUACGGCCGCAAGGCUAAAACUCAAAGGAAUUGACGGGGGCCCGCACAAGCGGCGGAGCAUGCGGAUUAAUUCGAUGCAACGCGAAGAANCCUUACCAAGGCUUGACAUACACCGGGAAACGGCCAGAGAUGGUCGCCCCCUUGUGGUCAGUGUACAGGUGGUGCAUGGNUUGUCGUCAGCUCGUGUCGUGAGAUGUUGGGUUAAGUCCCGCAACGAGCGCAACCCUCGUUCUAUGUUGCCAGCGCGUUAUGGCGGGGACUCAUAGGAGACUGCCGGGGUCAACUCGGAGGAAGGUGGGGAUGACGUCAAAUCAUCAUGCCCCUUAUGUCUUGGGCUUCACGCAUGCUACAAUGGCCGGUACAAAGGGCUGCGAUACCGUAAGGUGGAGCGAAUCCCAAAAAGCCGGUCUCAGUUCGGAUUGAGGUCUGCAACUCGACCUCAUGAAGUCGGAGUCGCUAGUAAUCGCAGAUCAGCAACGCUGCGGUGAAUACGUUCCCGGGCCUUGUACACACCGCCCGUCAAGUCAUGAAAGUCGGUAACACCCGAAGCCGGUGGCCUAACCCUUG